CUCUGAGAGAGUUUGUGCAGCAUCAGCCUCUGGAAGAACAACACCGCAGCUGAAAUUAGACAUGCAUCCCAUAUUGAUCAGCAUAGUGGCAGCCAACACAAGCUUAUCUAUUGUCUACUGGAACUCUUCUGUCUCAGGUUUUCUGCAAGAAGAUCAAAGAUGCACCACAACCUGAGGAAAUUCCAGUCUGAGUGGAGGCCUUGGUCGUGAUCCUGACGAUGAAGAGGAAGAAGAAGAACCACCAAAACUGAUCUUUGGGAAGGAAGUAGGGAUGAGGGAGAGAAAAUAAGAACAAAGGAGGAACAGACUGCCAUUUGACCCAGAAGUGGACGGAUAGAAAUUCUGCCAGGAUUUAAGUCUUCUGUAUUUGAAAAAUCAUGGGGUUAAAAAGGUGUCACUGAAUAGAUUUAUAAACAACCCUCUCUCUCUUUCAUCCAUUAGUCCAUCUUCACAAGCCCAAAUCUCUUGCUCAACCACUAAU